AGAGUUUGAUCAUGGCUCAGAUUAAACGCUGGCGGCAUGCCUUACACAUGCAAGUCGAACGGCAGCACGGGGGCAACCCUGGUGGCGAGUGGCGAACGGGUGAGUAAAGCAUCGGAACGUGCCCUGGAGUGGGGGAUAACGUAGCGAAAGUUACGCUAAUACCGCAUAUUCUGUGAGCAGGAAAGCAGGGGAUCGCAAGACCUUGCGCUCUGGGAGCGGCCGAUGUCGGAUUAGCUAGUUGGUGGGGUAAAGGCCUACCAAGGCGACGAUCCGUAGCGGGUCUGAGAGGAUGAUCCGCCACACUGGGACUGAGACACGGCCCAGACUCCUACGGGAGGCAGCAGUGGGGAAUAUUGCGCAAUGGGGGAAACCCUGACGCAGCCACGCCGCGUGAGUGAUGAAGGCCUUCGGGUUGUAAACUGCUUUUGUACGGAACGAAAAGCUUCGGGCUAAUACCCUGAAGUCAUGACGGUACCGUAAGAAUAAGCACCGGCUAACUACGUG
rnacentral:rRNA from 1 species